UAAAGAAUUUCGGUCAUCGAUGGGGAUGCGUUCCAUUAGCUUGUUGGCGGGGUAACGGCCCACCAAGGCAUCGAUGGAUAGGGGUUCUGAGAGGAAGGUCCCCCACAUUGGAACUGAGACACGGUCCAAACUCCUACGGGAGGCAGCAGUGAGGAAUAUUGGUCAAUGGGCGCUAGCCUGAACCAGCCAAGUAGCGUGAAGGAUGACUGCCCUAUGGGUUGUAAACUUCUUUUAUAUGGGAAUAAAGUGCAGUAUGUAUACUGCUUUGCAUGUACCUUAUGAAUAAGGAUCGGCUAACUCCGUGCCAGCAGCCGCGGUAAUACGGAGGAUCCGAGCGUUAUCCGGAUUUAUUGGGUUUAAAGGGAGCGUAGGCGGGUUGUUAAGUCAGUUGUGAAAGUUUGCGGCUCAACCGUAAAAUUGCAGUUGAUACUGGCAUCCUUGAGUACAGUAGAGGUAGGCGGAAUCCGUGGUGUAGCGGUGAAAUGCUUAGAUAUCACGAAGAACUCCGAUUGCGAAGGCAGCCUGCUGGACUGUAACUGACGCUGAUGCUCGAAAGUGUGGGUAUCAAACAGGAUUAGAUACCCUGGUAGUCCACA
rnacentral:rRNA from 1 species